AAUUAAUGAUGCCGUAGACCUUGACAAGGGUUCCCAGGACCAGUGCAUACAAAAUAGCCCCAUAACAUCAAAGAUCCACCAUAUUUUACAGUAGGUAUGGGGUUAUUUACUGCUCAUACAUUCUCAUCCACCAUAUUUUACAGUAGGUAUGGGGUUAUUUACUGCUCAUACAUUCUCAUCCACCAUAUUUUACAGUAGGUAUGGGGUUAUUUACUGCUCAUACAUUCUCAUCCACCAUAUUUUACAGUAGGUAUGGGGUUAUUUACUGCUCAUACAUUCUCAUCCACCAUAUUUUACAGUAGGUAUGGGGUUAUUUACUGCUCAUACAUUCUCAUCCACCAUAUUUUACAGUAGGUAUGGGGUUAUUUACUGCUCAUACAUUCUCAUCCACCAUAUUUUACAGUAGGUAUGGGGUUAUUUACUGCUCAUACAUUCUCAUCCACCAUAUUUUACAGUAGGUAUGGGGUUAUUUACUGCUCAUACAUUCUCAUCCACCAUAUUUUACAGUAGGUAUGGGGUUAUUUACUGCUCAUACAUUCUCAUCCACCAUAUUUUACAGUAGGUAUGGGGUUAUUUUCUGCUCAUACAUUCUCAUCCACCAUAUUUUACAGUAGGUAUGGGGUUAUUUUCUGCUC